rnacentral:rRNA from 1 species
GACGAACGCUGGCGGCGUGCCUAAUACAUGCCAGUAGAACGCACAGUUUAUACCGUAGCUUGCUACACCAUAGACUGUGAGUUGCGAACGGGUGAGUAACGCGUAGGUAACCUGCCUGGUAGCGGGGGAUAACUAUUGGAAACGAUAGCUAAUACCGCAUAAUAUUAAUUAUUGCAUGAUAAUUAAUUGAAAGGUGCAAUUGCACCACUACCAGAUGGACCUGCGUUGUAUUAGCUAGUAGGUGAGGUAACGGCUCACCUAGGCGACGAUACAUAGCCGAACUGAGAGGGUGAUCGGCCACACUGGGACUGAGACACGGCCCAGACUCCUACGGGAGGCAGCAGUAGGGAAUCUUCGGCAAUGGACGAAAGUCUGACCGAGCAACGCCGCGUGAGUGAAGAAGGUUUUCGGAUCGUAAAGCUCUGUUGUAAGAGAAGAACGGGGGUGAGAGUGGAAAGUUCACACUGUGACGGUAUCUUACCAGAAAGGGACGGCUAACUACGUG